rnacentral:lncRNA from 1 species
AGCCUCCUUGCCCAGCCUCAGACUCUGAGCCCUGCCCCCUGCCAGCCAGGUAAACCAUUCAGCCCCUCUAGGUACCCACCCUUUCCUGGGGACUGUGCUGUCACUUCCGCCCAGAGGCCCUGCACGCACUUGGGAGAUUCUUCUCCAUCCACCCCCAUCCCAGGAGGAUCAGCCGAAGGCUUUAGAAGGGACCUGCCACUCCCUUUCCCUCCCUCUCCAGACAGCCCUGGGUCACUCGAGGAUUGCAGCGAUCCUGACCAGAGGACCAAGAUAAACCACGGUGCUGGACUCCUGGCCACGGAACUGUGAGAUAAUGAAUGUACGUUGUUUAAAGCCAUUGCAUCAGUGGCUAUUUCUUACACAGCGUAGAGAGCGAAUACACUCAUUAUAUAUAUGAGUCUGCUGGGACCCCCAUAGCAAAGUCCCACACUGAGUGGCCCCAACAACAGAAACUUAUUUUCUCCCGGUUCUGGAUACAGAAGUCCGCGGUCAAGGUGUCGGGAGGGUUGCUUUCCCCCGAGGCCUCUCCCCUUGGCUUGCAGACGCUUGUCUUCCUUGUGGAGCCUCCAUGGUGGCCCCUCUGUGUGUGUCUGUGUCCUAAUCUCUUCUGUAAGGACACCAGUCAGAUUGCAUUAGGGCCCACCCUAAUGGCCUUGUUUAACUUAAUUGCCUCCCCUCCCCUCCCUUCUCCUUUCCUCUCCUCUCUUUUCUUUUCUUUUCUUUCUUUUUUUUUUUGAGACGGAGUCUCGCUCUGUCGCCCAGGCUGGAGUGCAGUGGCCCGAUCUCGGCUCACUGCAAGCUCCGCCUCCUGGGUUCACGCCAUUCUCCUGCCUCAGCCUCCCAAGUAGCUGGGACUACAGGCGCCCGCCACCAAGCCCGGCUAAUUUUUUGUAUUUUUAGUAGAGAUGGGGUUUCACUGUUCCGGCCCCUUUUCUUUUCUUUCAUCGAGACGGAGUUUCACUUUUGUUGCUCAGGCUGGAGUUUGUAUUUUUAGUAGAGACGGGGUUUCUCCAUGUUGGUCAGGCUGGUCUCGAACUCCCGACCUCAGGUGAUCCACCUGCCUACAUGGUGAAACCCCACCUCUACUAAAAACACACAAAAGUUCGCCGGGCAUGGUGGUACACGCCUGUGAUCCCAGCUACUCUAGAGGUAGAAGCAGGA